GGCGAACGCUGGCGGCGUGCUUAAUACAUGCAAGUCGAACGCACAGUUUAUACCGUAGCUUGCUACACCAUAGACUGAGAGUUGCGAACGGGUGAGUAACGCGUCGGUAACCUGCCUGGUAGCGGGGGAUAACUAUUGGUAACGCUAGCUAAUACCGCAUAAUAUUAAUUAUUGCUUGAUAAUUAAUUGAAAGGUGCAAUUGCCUCACUACUAGUUGGCCUUGCGUUGUAUUAGUUAGUAGGUGAGGUAACGGCUCACCUAGGCGGGGAAACAUAGCCGACCGGAGAUGAUGGGCAGCCACACUGGGAGUGAGACACGGCCCAGAGGCCUACGGGAGGCAGCAGUAGGGAAUCUUCGGCAAUGGACGAAAGUCAGUGCAAGCAGCGCGGCGGGAGGGAGGAGGAUUUUCGGGUCGUGAAGCUCUGUUGUAAGGGUGGAACGCGUGUUAGAGUGGAAAGAUCACACUGUGACGGUAUCUUACCAGAAAGGGACGGCUAACUACGUG
rnacentral:rRNA from 1 species